GUGCUCACUUCAGCAGCACAUAUACUAAAACUGAAACGAUACAGAGAAGAUUAGCCUGGCCCCUCGCAUGGAUGAUAUGCAAAUUCGUGAAGCAUCCCAUAUUUUU
ensembl:snRNA U6 U6 spliceosomal RNA